UCACCUCCACAGGCUGCCGGCCCCGGGCUGGGCUGGGCGAGUAUCUCUUCCAAAGGCUCCCCCUCCAGCACGACUAGGAGC
rnacentral:pre_miRNA from 1 species